UUGGAUGUUCAUUUGCACACUUAAGAGUUAAUUAAUUUAGGAACUGUCCGUUUCAACAAGUUGAAGUGCUUUGAUUUCUUUUUUCACAUUUUUUCUUUGCUCGUUGUCGCUUGUGAUUUCAGUUUUCUGAGCAGAUGAAAGCAGUGUAGGUUGGUACUGAGGCAGUGUUGGUUUGGAUGAUUGGAGGGCUAAAAGAACAGCAUUUCUUCAGGGAAUAGCUUGUGUGAGCAUGCAAGCUUGGGAACAGGAACCAGAUUCCCUUCUUCAGAUUGUGGCAGAAAGCACGACAAAUGAAAAGACUCCCCUUUCACGUUUUAUUUAAAAGGGUCCUUGAGGAGAAAACACAGCCUGCUGUUUGGAGGUGCCUUCCUUGUAGUUUCCUUUUUGGUGAACUAGAUGGUGGGAUGACAAAGAACACCAAGCAUGCACCUGAGGAGUGAGUUACAGCAGCACUAAAUGAGGUCCUGCAUGCCCAGGCGCUCUCUAGCAUGUUUUUGAGCUCUGAACCACCUUAAACCCUCAGGUCAUCGGGCCAUCUGGUUAAUACUCAGGUCUCUGCAGAUACUGGCGAAGCUGAUUUGACCUUUUCUGCUCCACAAUGCUGAACAAAAUGGGAUCAUACUAAGUGUGCAACAAAGUUUCAACACAAAGUAAAAACAUUCCCGUUGCUGCCGUGCUGUUUUAGUGGUCCAGUUCUUAGUUUUAAUUUGAAUUUUUCUUUAUUAUUUCGGUUUUUAUUGAUUUUACUGGACAAUUAAUCCUAAUUAUUGUAUCUUGUACUCAUUUUAUCUUGUAAUUAAUGUCUUUUCCAUCCUGCUGUUACCUUUUUGGAAUUUUUUAUGAUGAUUGGUUGUUAUUUGUUUAAUAGAUUUACCUUUAUAUGCAUCUUCUGAUUUAGUUUUACAUCAUCUAUGUAAAUCUGUGGUAGCUUAUGUUUUGUGCAGCAUGCUGUGCUUCCACCAAGCAUUAAAUGGGCUAUAUAAAGAAUGUUUUGCUUACUUGCUAGACUUUUGUGAUUUCCAUUUAGCUAAGCUGUUAACGAGCAGUGUGUACAGCACAGUGUUUAAUAGGAGGACUGCUCAGGAACAGUCCUUCUCUGAAGAAACAAAAACAUGAUAUGUUAAGAGGACUAAAAUGCAGACUCAGACAGUUUG